rnacentral:rRNA from 1 species
AGCGUACACGGUGGAUGCCCUGGCAGUCAGAGGCGAUGAAGGACGUGCUAAUCUGCGAUAAGCGUCGGUAAGGUGAUAUGAACCGUUAUAACCGGCGAUUUCCGAAUGGGGAAACCCAGUGUGUUUCGACACACUAUCAUUAACUGAAUCCAUAGGUUAAUGAGGCGAACCGGGGGAACUGAAACAUCUAAGUACCCCGAGGAAAAGAAAUCAACCGAGAUUCCCCCAGUAGCGGCGAGCGAACGGGGAGCAGCCCAGAGCCUGAAUCAGUGUGUGUGUUAGUGGAAGCGUCUGGAAAGGCGCGCGAUACAGGGUGACAGCCCCGUACACAAAAAUGCACAUGCUGUGAGCUCGAUGAGUAGGGCGGGACACGUGGUAUCCUGUCUGAAUAUGGGGGGACCAUCCUCCAAGGCUAAAUACUCCUGACUGACCGAUAGUGAACCAGUACCGUGAGGGAAAGGCGAAAAGAACCCCGGCGAGGGGAGUGAAAAAGAACCUGAAACCGUGUACGUACAAGCAGUGGGAGCACGCUUAGGCGUGUGACUGCGUACCUUUUGUAUAAUGGGUCAGCGACUUAUAUUCUGUAGCAAGGUUAACCGAAUAGGGGAGCCGAAGGGAAACCGAGUCUUAACUGGGCGUUAAGUUGCAGGGUAUAGACCCGAAACCCGGUGAUCUAGCCAUGGGCAGGUUGAAGGUUGGGUAACACUAACUGGAGGACCGAACCGACUAAUGUUGAAAAAUUAGCGGAUGACUUGUGGCUGGGGGUGAAAGGCCAAUCAAACCGGGAGAUAGCUGGUUCUCCCCGAAAGCUAUUUAGGUAGCGCCUCGUGAAUUCAUCUCCGGGGGUAGAGCACUGUUUCGGCAAGGGGGUCAUCCCGACUUACCAACCCGAUGCAAACUGCGAAUACCGGAGAAUGUUAUCACGGGAGACACACGGCGGGUGCUAACGUCCGUCGUGAAGAGGGAAACAACCCAGACCGCCAGCUAAGGUCCCAAAGUCAUGGUUAAGUGGGAAACGAUGUGGGAAGGCCCAGACAGCCAGGAUGUUGGCUUAGAAGCAGCCAUCAUUUAAAGAAAGCGUAAUAGCUCACUGGUCGAGUCGGCCUGCGCGGAAGAUGUAACGGGGCUAAACCAUGCACCGAAGCUGCGGCAGCGACGCUUAUGCGUUGUUGGGUAGGGGAGCGUUCUGUAAGCCUGCGAAGGUGUGCUGUGAGGCAUGCUGGAGGUAUCAGAAGUGCGAAUGCUGACAUAAGUAACGAUAAAGCGGGUGAAAAGCCCGCUCGCCGGAAGACCAAGGGUUCCUGUCCAACGUUAAUCGGGGCAGGGUGAGUCGACCCCUAAGGCGAGGCCGAAAGGCGUAGUCGAUGGGAAACAGGUUAAUAUUCCUGUACUUGGUGUUACUGCGAAGGGGGGACGGAGAAGGCUAUGUUGGCCGGGCGACGGUUGUCCCGGUUUAAGCGUGUAGGCUGGUUUUCCAGGCAAAUCCGGAAAAUCAAGGCUGAGGCGUGAUGACGAGGCACUACGGUGCUGAAGCAACAAAUGCCCUGCUUCCAGGAAAAGCCUCUAAGCAUCAGGUAACAUCAAAUCGUACCCCAAACCGACACAGGUGGUCAGGUAGAGAAUACCAAGGCGCUUGAGAGAACUCGGGUGAAGGAACUAGGCAAAAUGGUGCCGUAACUUCGGGAGAAGGCACGCUGAUAUGUAGGUGAAGUCCCUCGCGGAUGGAGCUGAAAUCAGUCGAAGAUACCAGCUGGCUGCAACUGUUUAUUAAAAACACAGCACUGUGCAAACACGAAAGUGGACGUAUACGGUGUGACGCCUGCCCGGUGCCGGAAGGUUAAUUGAUGGGGUUAGCGCAAGCGAAGCUCUUGAUCGAAGCCCCGGUAAACGGCGGCCGUAACUAUAACGGUCCUAAGGUAGCGAAAUUCCUUGUCGGGUAAGUUCCGACCUGCACGAAUGGCGUAAUGAUGGCCAGGCUGUCUCCACCCGAGACUCAGUGAAAUUGAACUCGCUGUGAAGAUGCAGUGUACCCGCGGCAAGACGGAAAGACCCCGUGAACCUUUACUAUAGCUUGACACUGAACAUUGAGCCUUGAUGUGUAGGAUAGGUGGGAGGCUUGGAAGUGUGGACGCCAGUCUGCAUGGAGCCGACCUUGAAAUACCACCCUUUAAUGUUUGAUGUUCUAACGUUGACCCGUGAUCCGGGUUGCGGACAGUGUCUGGUGGGUAGUUUGACUGGGGCGGUCUCCUCCUAAAGAGUAACGGAGGAGCACGA